CCAUUGGUACCGCAUGCCCUAUUAUGUAUGGUAUUCCCUUUGUAUUUAAAGUGUCUUUUUUGAAAAUGUGAAGCUUUCAUUAUCUUUCAAAAGUUCUAGUUUGGCACAUGGUGUGAUCUAUAUCAGUCUAAACUGACAUAUGCUAGAAUCCAUGGAAAUGGAAUUUCCUGAUUUUUGACUUGGAAUCCAAUAGAUUUGAAAUCAGAGUUACUAAUUCUACUAUUUGGGUAAUUUUUUCCAAUUUCAUGGAAUUGAAUGGCUAAUUCCAUUCUACUGCUUGGUGGACAUCAAAUAACCUAUGGAAUUUGUUACCGUGAUUUCGAAAGUUAAGAAGGGGAAUAAUCAAUCAACUUAAAACCUACGAAAAUACAACAUAAACAUUCAGAAAAGAGGAAAAAAUCAUAUGUUGGGUUCUGUACUUAGUGGCUCCAGUGAAAUUGCUUCAGUUCCAUUUCUCCACUUAAAAAGGCUGUUCAUUACAUUCUGCCCAGCCCAAUUCUGCUGAUCCAAAAGCACUUUAAUAGGAGGUGAUGGGGAGAGAUUUCCACAAUGCUUGAGAGCCACUCGUAGAGGAUAUGAUGCAGAUCACAUCCCUUGUAAGAAGAGUUUUCGGAUUUGAGUUUGAUUCCCUUUUUUUGGGUCAAGUUGAACAUAUGGUUCUAUAAGUUCGACCCAAAUUUAAAUCCCCCGUGGUUAUAUGGGUCAUGGGCUAAGUAAUUUUGAGUUUGUUUAUUUAUUUUAUUUUUUAUUUUUUAUUUAUUUAUUUUUAAAUUAUUAUGGGCUCUUUCUAUAAGCCCAAAAAUUAGAGAUUUCAGGCUUAUAUGGGAUUAAAUAGUUAGUUAUAUUUUGUUACUUAAUGAUUAAGAUAGAUGGAGUAGAACUUUCUAAUUUUGUUACAUUCUAUUUUGCAUGUAAUAGCAAUUGUCCUCUAGAAAGAUUCCAUCCUAAUUUCUAUUUAUUUGCUUUCUAUUUUCCUUGUAAUAGCUAGGGAUCCUUUCUAGAAGGAGUACGUAAUAGUAUUUUCUUGGCGGCCAAGUAGCAAGGAGAGUUUCUAUUAUUGUAAUCAGAUAGUUGUUAUUAUAAGUAAAGAGCGAAGGGUACGAUAGCCCAUAGAGUUGAUGUUUGAGAAAACUAUGCUCUUUGUGAUUGUGUUCACUGUGGUGAAUCAGUCACGGCCCUUGUAGUGAGGCAACUAAGCAUGUGGCAACCAAGGUGGUGAAGCCCAACUGCAGGCCAUAGGUGGUGAAACCCAUUGGUCAUAUCCUUCUCUCUCUUUCUCUUUCUUCUUCUUCCAUAAUGUUGUCAAAUUCCAGCAACCGUCUUUGUUUCUAUCAUGGUCAUCGGUAGGUAAUCUCCAUCUCUCUAUGUGUCUUCUUAUUAUAUCUUUAAUAUAUAUUUUUGUUAGUCACUUUUUUGCCGAAUUCUAUUCUGUUUUCCCCCUGCGGUUUCUGUUUUUAACCCUAUUCUAACAGUGACUUUGUCAUAAUGUUCCCCCAAUCCAGCCUUCGGAGAGGGCUCCAACUUUAACCAAACAUUCUCCCCUAUGAGUUCUUCCCUCAACCAGAACUGGAGCUCCAUCUGACUUCUGCUUUGUUUUCAGCUCCUGGAUGCAUUUCUGUGUUGUCCGUGUCUUCAUAGAGAGCAUUCUGCGAUAUGGCUUGCCACCGUCUUUCUUGGCUGCAGUGUUAGCUCCAUCAGCGAAAAGUGAGAAGAAACUACGUUCUAUACUUGAAAAGUUGUGUGACGGCACAAACAGCACCUACUGGAAAUCUGAAGAUGAUUCUGGAGGGAUGGCAGGUUUGGGAGGUGAUGUUGACAGUCAUCCAUAUGUUUCCUUCACAAUCAAUCUCAUUUGAUUUGGUUCGGAGUCCUAUCACUUGACCAUUUUGAAUGAUUCUGCAGUAAUAUUGGAUGGGAACUGUGAUAGUGUAUAUUAGCAUAAAUCACUCCAAUUCUUUGGUUAAUUUAAAAAUAUAUUGAAGGGGUGCGUUUUCAUGUUUCCUGAGAAAUUUGUACUUCUCCAUCUGUCAAACACCUAGAGGUUGUAAGUGUCAAUUACAAUACCUUUUUAUUAUUAUUAUUAUUAUUUUUAUAUGAUAUAAAUCCUUAUGAAUAUAGAAAAUUCUCUUUGGCA